UAUCAUGUGGUUCAGAGAGGAGGGACUCAGUGUUCACAGACCUGACAUGAUCUAAUUCUGUCUGACAGAGACUGUGGUAGAAACUAUUCAUUCUGAUUCUUCUCAGAGUGUACACUUGUACAAUGGAUCUUUAUUCAAUUAUACUGCUCUGUGCCUCAGCAGCUGCUGUCUUUGGAAAUGUCAUCAAAACAAACAAAACUGAUGUUUUUUAUGAAGAGGGAUCAGAUAUUGUAUUGUCCUGUAGUCAAUCACCUGGAGCUUCGGAUAAUAUCUACUGGUACCGUCAGUAUGAAAGAUCAAAACCUGAAUUUCUUGUACUCACCUACAGUAAUUCAAAAGUACCUGCCGUGUCUGCUGUAGAUCCAAGAAUCUCUGUUAAACCUGAAAAAAAGGAACAAAUCCAUGCAGAUCUGAAGAUCUCCUCUGCUGCUGUAUCAGACUCUGCUCUGUACUACUGUGCUCUGCAGCCCACAGUGACAGGAAACACAUCGACUCUCUACAAAAACCUGUUACAAUGAGAGACAAGAGAAAAAAAAAGCAAGAAAUAAUACAAAUGAAUGUUAAAUUAUCUCAAAUGAUUCCCAUGUGUAAUACAGUAUAGUGAAUACUGUACAUUCACAUGAAGUUCCUGCUUGUUCCAAAUUCUGAUUACAUUUUAAACAAAUAAAAUAACUAGACUAUAAAUACCUAAUAUUUUUCAUAUUUUCAUCAGUCAAAAAUGAAAAUGAUAAAUGCGAAGACAUUAAGGAUUUAAGUCAUGCCUUUAUA